ACUCAAAGGAAUAGACGGGGGCCCGCACAAGCGGUGGAGUAUGUGGCUUAAUUCGAUGCAACGCGAAGAACCUUACCUGGGCUUGACAUGCCUUGUGUCGGCAGUGAAAGCUGCCUAGCCCCGCAAGGGGCGCCUGGCACAGGUGCUGCAUGGCUGUCGUCAGCUCGUGUCGUGAGAUGUUGGGUUAAGUCCCGCAACGAGCGCAACCCUCGUGGCCUGUUGCUUCUGACCCGCAAGGGUCAAGCACUUUGGUUAGACUGCCCUGUGAAACGGGGAGGAAGGUGGGGAUGACGUCAAGUCAGCAUGGCCCUUACGCCCAGGGCUGCACACGUACUACAAUGCCCAGCACAGAACGAGCCGAGGCCGCGAGGCGGAGGAAAUCACCAAAACUGGGCACAGUUCGGAUCGCAGGCUGCAACUCGCCUGCGUGAAGCUGGAAUCGCUAGUAAUGGCGCAUCAGCUACGGCGCCGUGAAUACGUUCCCGGGCCUUGUACACACCGCCCGU
rnacentral:rRNA from 1 species